GAGGGUACAGCUCAGUGGUAGAGUGUGUGCCUAGCAAGUACAAGGUCCUGGAUUCAAUCCCCAGUAUCUCCA
rnacentral:tRNA from 1 species